GGCAGGAGCAGGAGGAGGGGCUUUGUCACAGCUGCAAGGUGACCUUCUUCAGGAACUGCCCCGUCCCUCUCCAGUGAAGUGGAAAUCCCCCUUCUCUGUGUCCCUAGGACCCCUGUGGACUGCAGUCACAAGCCUGGCACGGCUGUGGCCCAGGAGGGGAUCUCAGCCCUGAUACCCGCUCCCUGGCACAGAGAAGAGCAGCAGCAGGCACCCCCAUGUGGAGUUAAGUGGUCAGCAAGGUCCAGACCAAGGCCGGCUGCCCUUGGCCACCCUGGGCACCGUGAAGUGGAGCCUCCCUGGAGGUGGGGUUGCACGGGGUGGCCUGACAGGCUGCCUCCUCCCUCCCGCCUGACCCCUGGGCCUCUCUGCCCUGCAGGCAGACCCUCCUGGGGUGGCCUUCCCUGUCCUUCCUGCCGUCCACAGGCUGCUCUCCUCUCCUGCGGGGCAAGGCUGUGGGCUCUCAAUCCCUCCAGUCCCCAGGCCCAGCACCCUAGUUCUCCGCAGGUGUGGGCCUCGUCCUCCCACACACCUGGGGGGAGCUGGCGCUGCCCUCCUGCCCUGCUGUGUCUGGUGGGGUCCUAGGAGGCAGGCCUUCCGUCCCACCAGGAGGGCAGUGAGUCUCCACCCAGGGCGGCUGGUCACUGAAUGACCCCACAUACACACUCAGGUGGUGCCCAGAGGGUGGGUUUCUUGCUUGUUUUCUUCCCGUUUAUUCCCAGAACCUGAGGGUGAGUGGCUGGAUGUCAGAUGUGUGGACUGCUACCUGGGUGGUGGGCGGGUGGGUGGAUAGGUGGCUGUUUGGAGGGUGCUAUGGUUUAGAUAUGGGGUGUCCCCCAAAAGCUCGUGUGUGAGGCAGUGCCAGGUUUAGAGGUGACAUGAUUGAAUAAUGGGAGUCCUAAGCCAGUCAGUGAAUUAAUCCCCUGAUAGGGAUUAACUUGGUGAUAACUGCAGGCAGGUAGCGUGUGGCAAAGGAUGGAGGGUCCCUGGGGGAGAGCCUUUGGGGGGCUGUUUUGUCUCUGAAGAGUGGAGCUGUCGGUCUCUGCCUCCUCGUGGGGUGUCAUGAGCCACUUUCCUCCGCCACACCCUUCCACCUUGAUGCUCUGCCUCACCUCGAGCCCCAGGCACGGAGCUGGCCGUCUGUGACUGAGACCCCUGGAACCGCAGCACCAAGCGGACUUUUCCUCCUUAAAAUUGUUCUUAUCAGGUCCUUGGUCACAGCAGCGAAAGAGCUGACUAAAACAGACGAUGGUAGAUGCACUGGGGCUGGAAGGACUAAGGAAGGGUGGACAGAGAGAUGGUUGAUGGACGGGUGGGUGGCUGGAGGGGUGCUUUUAUGCCACCCCGUUCACUGGAAUGAUGGUGAGACCAAGGCCUAGUGGGAGAUGCAGUUUGUUGCAGGCGUACCGGGGACAGAGCUGGCGCAGAACCCCAAGUCCCUGACCUCUGUGUCCGUGUGCGACAAGCAGGUCUGUUCACGUCUGCUGACCAGGCUGGAGCUCUGGGCCGGGAUGCCCCUCACAUUCCAUUCACUGACUGUGGGAAGCUCCCCCAGCUGUCACUCUCUGGCCACGUGGAAGGUGACACCUGCCUCUCAGGCCACACAGAACAAGUACAUUGAGCUCCUGGAAUGGGCGGGCUGCUGACCACAGUGCCUGCCCCCGCUGGACACUCUCUCAGGGUCCCCAGAGGAUCGGAGUGCCCCCUGCAGUGCUGCACGUGCUGACGCAGCAAGACCCCAGACAGAGCCCCUCCAGGGCCAACCCGGACCUCCCCCACACCAGGAAGGGCUCGGUCCCCAGUUCCUGGGGGCAGGAAGCCCAGGGGCACUGCCUGGAUCCAGCGAGGCUUCUGCCUCUCGGUUUUGCACCACCUCCUGCUUCUCCAACCCCUGCUGAGCUUCACGGUGGCCUGGGUCACAGCCAGCACCUGCUCUCCUCGCCCUGCAGCGGCAGAGUCUCCCUGGGCGGGUCCCUGAGGCCAAGCCACUGACCUCACCCUACAGAGGGCACAGCAGUGCAUCAGGAGGCCCUUCCAAGGCCCCCCCGGGUGGGGGCUCCAGUCACCCCUGAGGCUCAAGCUGAGUCCAGUCGGUGUGACAGGCAGGCCAGGGCUUCCCUGCUGUGGCCUCUGCCCAGUGCCGGCCUCUGGCGCAACAGUGGACUCUGUGACCCACCUCGGCUGCCUGUGGGGUGGCAUUGGACUCCCUGCAAAUGAGCCAUCGCAGGAACAGCUGGUCUGGGCUCCAGGGUUUUUAUGGGUUUGCCUUAAAGAUUUU
rnacentral:lncRNA from 1 species